rnacentral:lncRNA from 1 species
AUGGUCUGCUUGCUGGCCAGAGAUGAAGUCACCACACUGGCUUUACGAGCUCUCACAGCUGCACCACAUCCCCUGAGACUCUUACUGGGGCAAGAAAAUGUGCCUGCAGAGCUUCGAGCCGCACUAGUCAGCUCUGGUGGUGCCAGGGAGAGUCCUCUUUUCCCGAGGGGCCCUGCAUCUCUCUUAAAGGUCUUGCUUCUGAACUUGGCCCCUGCGUCGGAGCCUUCCUCAUUCAUGGGUCCCUGGAGUUGCUCCCUGAAAUCAAACCUCUGACCAUGUCCCUACCCCGUCUACCACUCAUGUCUGAAUUUCAGUUCUACAAGGCUCAAGUGUCCUCCUACGGGACCUCUGAUAUCCAGUAGGUAUUCUGAGGCAGCUAAGUGAUUUGGGGUCUGUGCGACAAAUUUCUGGGACAGGGUGUGAAGUAGCUUACAUCAUCAGCCUGCUCUUUCUAAUCUCAGCUCCAGCAUGUCCAGACAUUUUAAAAAAUACCUAUCUAUUUAUUUGGCUGCACUGGGUCUUAGUUGCAGCAC